rnacentral:lncRNA from 1 species
AAGAAUUCCCUUCUUUCCCAUCAUCAGUAGUGAAGCUCAAAAUUUCUGAAACUGGGUUCGCUAUUCUUCCAGAAAUACAUACUCCAAGCUCUCAAGUUUCAUCAUCAUUGGUAUGCCUGCAGAUUCAACAAUGCCCAAAUCUUACAUCAUUAGAGCAAGGACUGUUUUGCCAAAAAUUAUCAACACUGCAACAAUUAACCAUCACAGGCUGCCCAGAAUUAACUCACCUGCCAGUUGAAGGAUUCAGUGCCCUGACUGCUCUUAAGAGUAUUCAUAUCCAUGAUUGUCCGAAGCUGGAACCAUCCCAAGAACAUAGUUUGCUGCCCUCCAUGCUUGAAGAUCUACGCAUC